GAUGAACGCUGGCGGCGUGCCUAAUACAUGCAAGUCGAGCGAAGCGGGGACGGGUGAGUAACACGUGGAUAACCUCAUAUAAGACUGGGAUAACUUCGGGAAACCGGCGCUAAACCGGAAACUUAUAGAUGGAUCCGCGCUGCAUUAGCUAGGUGGUAAGUUAACGGCUUACCAAGGCAACGAUGCAUAGCCGACCUGAGAGGGUGAUCGGCCCCACUGGAACGUGGACACGGUCCAGAGUCCUACGGGAGGCAGCAGUAGGGAAUCUUCCGCAAUGGGCGAAAGCCUGACGGAUCCACGCCGCGUGAGUGAUGAAGGUCUUCGGAGCGUAAAACUCUGUUAUUAGGGAAGCGGUACCUAAUCAGAAAGCCCCGGCUAACUACGUGCCAGCAUCCGCGGUAAUAC
rnacentral:rRNA from 1 species